rnacentral:rRNA from 1 species
CCAGUUCGGACUGCAGUCUGCAACUCGACUGCACGAAGUCGGAAUUGCUAGUAAUCGCGGAUCAGCAUGCCGCGGUGAAUACGUUCCCGGGCCUUGUACACACCGCCCGUCACACCAUGAGAGUCGGGAACACCCGAAGUCGGUAGUCUAACCUCGUGAGGACGCCGCCGAAGGUGGGCUUGAUAAUUGGGGUGAAGUCGUAACAAGGUACC